AUUGAACGCUGGCGGCAGGCCUAACACAUGCAAGUCGAACGCGUGGCGGACCGGUGAGUAUUGUACCGGAAACUGUCCGAUGGAGGGGGCUAACUAAUGGAAAAGGGAGCUCAUACCGCACACCAUAGGAUGUGCCCCGAUGGGAUUAGCUAGUAGGUGGGGUAACGGCUCACCUAGGCGACGAUCCCUAGCUGGUCUGAGAGGAUGACCAGCCACACUGGAACUGAGACACGGUCCAGACUCCUACGGGAGGCAGCAGUGGGGAAUAUUGAACAAUGGGCGCAAGCCUGAUGCAGCCAUGCCGCGUGUAUGAAGAAGGCCUUCGGGUUGUAAAGUACUUUCAGCGAGGAGGCGUUACUCGCAGAAGAAGCACCGGCUAACUCCGUGCCAGCAGCCGCGGUAAUAC
rnacentral:rRNA from 1 species